rnacentral:rRNA from 1 species
CACGUAGGGUGCGAGCGUUGUCCGGAAUUACUGGGCGUAAAGGGCUCGUAGGUGGCCAACUAAGUCAGACGUGAAAUCCCUCGGCUUAACCGGGGAACUGCGUCUGAUACUGGAUGGCUUGAGUUUGGGAGAGGGAUGCGGAAUUCCAGGUGUAGCGGUGAAAUGCGUAGAUAUCUGGAGGAACACCGGUGGCGAAGGCGGCAUCCUGGACCAAUACUGACGCUGAGGAGCGAAAGCCGGGGGAGCAAACGGG